rnacentral:rRNA from 1 species
GACGAACGCUGGCGGCGUGCUUAACACAUGCAAGUCGAACGGAAAGGCCCUGCUCUUGUGGGGUGCUCGAGUGGCGAACGGGUGAGUAACACGCGAGUAACCCGCCCUUGUCUUUGGGAGAACUCUAGGAAACUGGGGCUAAUACCGCAUAUGAGCUCUUGCUGCAUGGUGGGGGUUGGAAAGUUACGGCGGUUGUGGCUGGUCUCGCAGCUUAUCGGCUUGUUGGUGUGGUAGUGGCUUACCAAGGCUUUGACGGGUAGCCUGCCUGGGAGGGGUACCGGCGACAUUGGUACUAAGGUACGGACCAGAAUCGUACGGGCGGCAGCAGUGGGAAACAUGGCAGAGUGGGGGGAAGCCUGAGGCAGAAGCGCCGCGUGCGGAAUAACGGCCUUCGAGUGGUGAACAGAUGUCGACGGUGACAAAGCGUGAUUGACGGUAAUGGGUAAGAAAGCAACGGCUAACUACGUG